rnacentral:rRNA from 1 species
CCUACGGGUGGCAGCAGUGGGGAAUAUUGGACAAUGGGCGAAAGCCUGAUCCAGCCAUGCCGCGUGUUUGAAGAAGGCCUUCGGGUUGUAAAGCACUUUCAGUUGGGAAGAAAGCCUUGGGGCUAAUACCCUCGAGGAAGGACAUCACCCACAGAAGAAGCACCGGCUAACUCCGUGCCAGCAGCCGCGUAAUACGGAGGGUGCGAGCGUUAAUCGGAAUUACUGGGCGUAAAGCGCGCGUAGGCGGUCUGAUAAGCCGGUUGUGAAAGCCCCGGGCUCAACCUGGGAACGGCAUCCGGAACUGUCAGGCUAGAGUGCAGGAGAGGAAGGUAGAAUUCCCGGUGUAGCGGUGAAAUGCGUAGAGAUCGGGAGGAAUACCAGUGGCGAAGGCGGCCUUCUGGACUGACACUGACGCUGAGGUGCGAAAGCGUGGGUAGCAAACAGGAUUAGAUACCCGGGUAGUC